AGGAUGCAGGCUCCACUCCAAGGCUCUUUCUCUUAGGUGCCAGCAGUCUGGAGGUGGGGUGCCAAGGCCCACAGACCCCCUCCAGUGGGGUUCAUGAGAUGGCCUGGUGCAUGCACA